GACGAACGCUGGCGGCGUGCCUAAUACAUGCAAGUAGGACGCAGUUGCGAACGGGUGAGUAACGCGUAGGUAACUACCUAUUAGAGGGGGAUAACUAUUGGAAACGAUAGCUAAUACCGCAUACUAGUAGAUGGACCUGCGUUGUAUUAGCUAGUAGGUAGGGUAAUGGCCUACCUAGGCAAAGAUACAUAGCCGACCUGGGGGGGGUAUCGUCCACACUGGUACGUGUAAACUGCCCAGACUCCUUCGGGAGGCCGCCGUAGGGAAUCUUCGGCAAUGGGGGGAACCCUGACCGAGCAACGCCGCGUGAGUGAAGAAGGUUUUCUGAUCGUAAAGCUCUGUUGUUAAGGAAGCGGUACUUAACCAGAAAGGGACGGCUAACUACGUGCCAGCAGCCGCGGUAAUUC
rnacentral:rRNA from 1 species